rnacentral:lncRNA from 1 species
GACAUUUUAAUUACAACCUCUGAAUCAGGAAACGCACCUCAGUUUUAUACAGGAAUUGAAGGAAUGCUCCUCAAAGGCCAGAAAGGAGAGAUUACUACCACAGCAUGCACACAGGUCAAUAUUCCAAAUUCAGCCUUCAAUUGUUCUUUUCGAAUCACCAGGGAAACCUCCCUCCUUCCAUCAGGACACUGCAGGCAAUUUGUAUGAGCAUUGGCUGACGGAAUUGAUAAACCUGAAGAUAAAUGAGCUUAACUAGGGAUUUAUAAUUGACUGAUGAUUAAACUAAGGUAUGUUUUGGGGAUUUCUGGAUUUGUGUAUGUGUGUGUAAACCUGCACUUUGUGGAUUAACGUGAUGCAGCUACACUUAAAGGCAGAAAUUAGUUAAUGAGGUAGAAAGACUUAGAGGGUCCCAAACUGAGUAAGGUUUCCAUGUUAGCUUAUACCCCAUGCUAGCUGAACAAAACCAGAUCUCAUCCCAGUGUGGAAAUGGGCAUUUAGGACUUCCUAAAUAUUGAUGUGAUGUGUGUGGUAGCUCCUUUUUGGCUCUCUUUGCUAAUUAUUGGCAAAGUUUGGUGUAGGGUCAAAUUUGUAUUUUGUGUGAGUUGAUUGACCAUUUGUCCUUUGGUGCUCCUGCACCCCCUCAUCCUCGCUCUUGUCCUUUUGUGGGGUUUUUUUUUUUUCUCUCUCUAUGAGAAAAUGUGUACAGAGACCUUCAGCAGAUACAGGUGGAGAGACUCAGCCUAAUUCUUCUGACCUCCUAAUGUCAUUCUGCCUUUUAGAUUCUUAAGUAUAAAAAUUUUUCCCAAAUAAAAAUUGAUAAGAAGUGUAAUUUCAUUAGCAGAAGUUUAUUGUAGACUUUACUUGUUAGGGUUUUAAAGAUAGGGUCACAAAUUCUUUCAUCCUCUUUCCUUCAAAAAGUGGAGUUUAAUGCUCCUUCCCUUGGAUGUGGACCAGACUUAGUGAUUCACUUUCAACAGAGAAUGUGGCAAAAAUGAUGCUGUAUUUCUUCCAAAGCUAGGUUGCAGAGAGGAUGCAGCUCCUGCCCGGUUGCUCUUAUUCUUAUAUUGCCCACACUGGGGCAGACCGGUUACUACGCUGUAAAAAAACUCAAGUAGUCUUGUGGAGGGACAGUUUUUCAUAGGGAGAAAAACCGAGGCCUCCUGCUGAAAACCAGCACCAGCAUGCCAUGAGAGUGAGCAACCUGGGAAGCAGAUCCCUCAGUGUCAGUCAAGCUUUCAAUGACUGCAGCCCUGGCCCUCAUCAGACUACAAUCUUAUGAUAGGCGUCAGGCCAUAACCACCCAGUCAAGCUGCUUCUGAAUUCCUGACCCUC